rnacentral:rRNA from 1 species
GUAUAAAGUGGGAUUGCCAUCGCUCAACGGAUAAAAGCUACCCUGGGGAUAACAGGCUUAUCACUCCCAAGAGUUCACAUCGACGGAGUGGUUUGGCACCUCGAUGUCGGCUCAUCGCAUCCUGGAGCUGUAGCAGGUUCCAAGGGUUGGGCUGUUCGCCCAUUAAAGCGGUACGCGAGCUGGGUUCAGAACGUCGUGAGACAGUUCGGUCCCUAUCCGGCGCAGGCGGAGGAAAUUUGAUAGGAGCUGUCCUUAGUACGAGAGGACCGGGAUGGACGGACCGCUGGUGUAUCUGUUGUACUGCCAAGUGCAUAGCAGAGUAGCCAAGUCUGGAAGGGAUAAACGCUGAAGGCAUCUAAGCGUGAAGCCCCCCUAAAGAUAAGAUUUCCCAUACCAUAAGGUAGUAAGACCCCUUGAAGACGACGAGGUAGAUAGGGCAGAGGUGGAAGUACGGUAACGUAUGGAGCUGACUGUUACUAAUCGGUCGAGGCUUUAACCAAA